rnacentral:lncRNA from 1 species
AAGGUCCUGCUGCGUGAGCCACUGACGUGUUUGGAACUGCAGCCGGCCCGGGUGCUGGCUGAGUGGUGGCCUGUGGUGAGUGGUCUCCGGCCCCUCCCUCCCUGGACAGCAGGCCCGGGACAGCACUGCGCCGAGGGCAGACCCUAGUUCGUGGCGCCAAACCCUCCGCGGCGCGGCAUGCUCCUGCCGCUACUCACGCCACGCGAUUCGUCCGGCCGGGGCAGCGGAAGGUGACCCCAUGCAGGAAUCUGAUGCUUCUACCAGAUGCAUGGAUGAAAAUAACUAUGACAGGGAAAGGUGUUCCAGUUACUUCUUGAAGUACAAAAACUGCCGGCGAUUCUGGAAUUCUGUCAUGAUCCAAAGAAGACAAAAUGGAGUUCAGCCAUCUAUGCCUACAGCAGCAGAAAGAGACGAAAUUUUGGGAGCAAUGCAAAAGAUGCCCUACUGAGUAUUUGCAUUAAAAUUGUUUCUAUAACUUGAA